rnacentral:rRNA from 1 species
CCUACGGGUGGCAGCAGUGGGGAAUAUUGCACAAUGGGGGAAACCCUGAUGCAGCGACGCCGCGUGAGUGAAGAAGUAAUUCGUUAUGUAAAGCUCUAUCAGCAGGGAAGAAAAUGACGGUACCUGAGUCAGACGCCCCGGCUAUCUACGUGCCAGCAGCCACGGUACUACGUAGGGGGCAAGCGUUAUCCGGAUUUACUGGGUGUAAAGGGAGCGUAGACGGCAGGGCAGGUCUGGAGGAAAAGGCGGGGUCUCAACGGGCGAACUGCUCUGGAAACUGUACGGCUGGAGUGCAGGAGAGGUAAGAGGAAUGCGUGGUGUAGCGGUGAAAUGCGUAGAUAUUAGGAGGAACACCGGUGGCGAAGGCGGCUUAC